rfam:Ciona savignyi cont_112, whole genome shotgun sequence.
UCAGGAACGGCCGAGUGUGGUGUAUUGUACUCGUAGAAAUAACAGUAUUGCACCUGUCCCGGCCGAUCUUGG